UGCGACAGCACCGAAAGUCCUCCAACCGUAAUGUAAUUAAUAUAUUUAAGAUGCUUGUUGAAAAGUCUAAUCGGACUAUAUAUUUCAGCACCUGUUGUCGUCCAGGAUGGAAUUCUGGCAUUGCGACAGCACCGAAAGUCCUCCAACCGUAAGUCCUCGUUGUCCUCCAGGAUAGAAUUCUGGAUUUGCGACAGCACCGAAAGUCCUCCAACCGUAAUCACCUGUUGUCGUCCAGGAUGGAAUUCUGGCAUUGCGACAGCACCGAAAGUCCUCCAACCGCAAGUCCCGAUUUUCCACCACCAUCACAUUUUACUGUGAUGAAUAUAAAUCUGUGUUCCUUUGUUCAACUUAAGUACCGGUUUUCCUCCAUUCAUCUUCAUACUGUGACAAGAAGUUCAAUCAGAGGCAAUUAAAAUUAUAAUCACACAUAUUUUUAAAAUUUUAAGUUUAAAGCUAAAUGUGUGUUUAAUUACGAGGCAAGAUCAAUAAGGUAAAUAAUUAUAUAAAAGAUGGUAAAAUGUCUAUUUUGAACAAGCAUUUCAGCUCCAUAUAAUAGAGCCGUUACAAUAUGAUAUUUUAUUUUGCAAAGUUGUGGUUGUUGUGCAGAUAACAGUAAAUGCUUCAGAUUAUUAUUAUUGAUGGAAUAUUUCACGUUAAUUAUACCCCAAUAUAAGAUUAUCCACCAAUGUGAUAUUACAUGAACUUAAUCUAAUGGUUUUAGAUUUAUUUCCUUAUGAUGAUUUAUUUAGUUUAUUAAAUUAAC